CAAAGAGAGGUUGGCACCAAAGAGUCCAAUCUUAUCAAGACUCUCCAACCUUAUCCACUUGGGGUGCCCACUUAAUUCAAUUGGGCUCGCACCAUAAUCUAAUUAUGGCACCCAAUUUGAUGUAGUUUGACUCUACAAAAAUUCUUUAAUAAGCUCCUGCCAAGUGGCCUUCAAUUUAAGACCCAUAUGUCAACUUUUGACAAAUAUCCUAAAAUAAAAUUGGUAGGUGACAGGAAUUAGCAGGUGCUUGUCUUAAAUUCAUCUCAUGAAUUAAGAUAAGCCUUUUUUGAGCUGGACAAGCUUCAUUUAGACUUAGAGAAACUUUUUCAAGGUUCUCUGGAUGAGUCAAAUCAUAUUUAGCUCGGUAGAGACAGAAAAGAUUACACGAAGAGAAAGUUAGGCUCAAUCAUGUGCUAGCAUGAUUUCCUUGAACCUAAUUGGAUCUUAUCCAAAUCAAUUAGGUUAGCUCAAUUAAUGACAUCCAGACCCUAAUCCUUAUUUGUGUGAUCUAGUUAGGUUCAAUUCCGUAUGGUAAUGAGACAUGUCGUGAUCUCAUCAUCGACAUCAUCGAAACUUCUUUCGAUGGACCAGAACUCUUCUGAUUCAGACAAUUAGAAUAAUCGAUCAUC
rnacentral:lncRNA from 1 species